rnacentral:rRNA from 1 species
GAUGAACGCUAGCGGGAGGCUUAACACAUGCAAGUCGAGGGGCAGCAUAGGGUAGCAAUACUCUGAUGGCGACCGGCGCACGGGUGAGUAACACGUAUGUAACCUACCCUUUACAGGGAGAUAACCCGGAGAAAUUCAGACCAAUACCCCAUAAUAUUAUUUUAGGGCAACCUGGAAUAAUUAAAGUUUAGGCGGUGAAGGAUGGGCAUGCGGAACAUUAGCUAGUUGGCAGGGUAACGGCCUACCAAGGCUACGAUGUUUAGGGGGCCUGAGAGGGUGAUCCCCCACACUGGUACUGAGACGCGGACCAGACUCCUACGGGAGGCAGCAGUGAGGAAUAUUGGUCAAUGGGCGGAAGCCUGAACCAGCCAUCCCGCGUGCAGGAAGACGGCCCUAUGGGUUGUAAACUGCUUUUCCAGGGGGUGAAUUUCUCGGUCGUGCCCGGGAUUGACGGUACCCUGGGAAUAAGCAUCGGCUAACUCCGUGCCAGCAGCCGCGGUAAGAC